GUUUCAUUUAAAAAUCACACUAUUUUGUUCAUGACAGAAGAGUUACAGGAACAUAUUCCAAAAUAACUGGUUGCAAAUUGAAUAAUUUUAUGCCCCCAAGUUCUUCUAAUCUACAGCUUUUAUUUCAUUUCCCUAUCAUUUCCUUCUCCAUGGUUGCUGGAAAUUUCUUUGUUUUUUUCCCCAGCAGAGGGUGCAAAAUAUUAAACCUUGGAAGCACUGCAGAAAAGGGUAAACUUGAAAACCCUGAAAAAUAGAGGCAAAAAUAAUUCUUAACUGCUCAUGGCAUUGGACUUGAUCAUGAAGAAGGGAAAUGACAAGCACUGGUGCUCCGAGACAGAAGCACAGGAUUCAGAUGUGUUUAUGCAGGAAGAUUUGCUCCUUGAGACCUCUGCCAUCACUGUCAGAAAAAGCUAUCCUCAGUAAUUGCUGUAUCGUCAGCCAGAUUCUGAGUCAACACAAGUAGUACAGACUGAAUCAAAUUCAAUAAGGAGCCAAGCCCAGCUAGAACCACACUUGAAGUAUUGCUCUCUAACUAAACACAGCUAGAUCAACUCAACCACAGAUAUGUGUCCUUCUGGAUGAUAGUUUGGAAUAUGACAGGAAACAAUAAAAAAUGGGGAUGGUGUUGGACAGAACCUCAUUUGCAUUGGAAAUGAAACAUGAAAUGAUUUCUAGAAGCCUGCAACCUGAGAUUUCUUUGAAAUACACCUUUAAAAAGUCAAUAAAGACAAGAGAGACAGUGUGUUCUGGUCUAAUACAGAAGAAAGUAGGAUUCAAAACUUGCUGGUUCCUACCCCGGAUCUUAUAAGCUAUGGAAGAUUCCAU
rnacentral:lncRNA from 1 species